rnacentral:rRNA from 1 species
CCUACGGGUGGCAGCAGUGAGGAAUAUUGGUCAAUGGACGAGAGUCUGAACCAGCCAAGUAGCGUGAAGGAUGACUGCCCUAUGGGUUGUAAACUUCUUUUAUAAAGGAAUAAAACGAGGCACGUGUUCCUUUUUGCAUGUACUUUAUGAAUAAGGAUCGGCUAACUCCGUGCCAGCAGCCGCGGUAAUACGGAGGAUCCGAGCGUUAUCCGGAUUUAUUGGGUUUAAAGGGAGCGUAGAUGGUUUGUUAAGUCAGUUGUGAAAGUUUGCGGCUCAACCGUAAAAUUGCAAUUGAUACUGGCAGUCUAGAGUACAGUUGAGGUAGGCGGAAUGCGUGGUGUAGCGGUGAAAUGCUUAGAUAUCACGAAGAACCCCGAUUGCGAAGGCAGCUUACUAAACUGUGACUGACAUUGAUGCUCGAAAGUGUGGGUAUCAAACAGGAUUAGAUACCCGUGUAGUC